rnacentral:rRNA from 1 species
GAUGAACGCUGGCGGCGUGCCUAAUACAUGCAAGUCGAGCGAACGGACGAGAAGCUUGCUUCUCUGAUGUUAGCGGCGGACGGGUGAGGAACACGUGGAUAACCGACCUAUAAGACUGGGAUAAGUUCGGGAAACCGGAGCUAAUACCGGAUAAUAGUUUGAACCGCAUGGUUCAAAAGUGAAAGACGUUCUUGCUGUCACUUAUAGAUGGAUCCGCGCUGCAUUAGCUAGUUGGUAAGGUAACGGCUCACCAAGGCAACGAUGCAUAGCCGACCUGAGAGGGUGAUCGGCCACACUGGAACUGAGACACGGUCCAGACUCCUACGGGAGGCAGCAGUGGGGAAUAUUGCGCAAUGGGCGAAAGCCUGACGGAGCAACGCCGCGUGAGUGAUGAAGGUCUUCGGAUCGUAAAACUCUGUUAUUAGGGAAGAACAUAUGUGUAAGUAACUGUGCACAUCUUGACGGUACCUAAUCAGAAAGCCACGGCUAACUACGUG